rnacentral:misc_RNA from 1 species
CCCAGAAUUACCACCUUCAUUUGCUUCACCGUCUUGGUUUACAACAUUUGCCGACAACUUUGUAAGAACCUGUUGUUCAGAAUCUGUUUGGGCAGUACCUUUCCAACUUGGACUAGUUCCAUCCACAUCAUCAUCUCCAACAUCAAAACAGCCUUUAAGUGCUUGAAGAGGUUUAAUUGCAAAUGAAGGAAGUGAACUCUCCAAAUCAUGAAGAUCACUGAACCCAUCCUCAUGACUAGGAGCAGCAGUUGAAUGGUUAGCCCUUUCAUGGGACAG